rnacentral:sRNA from 1 species
UCCCCUAGAACAAAUAUUUAUACAAUAC